UUGAAUAAGAAGCAAAAGCAGAAGAAAUUACACAAAAAAAAAAAAGAAGCAAAAAUAGAAGAAAAUCUGCUCAGCAUACAUCGUGCCACGAUGAGCAACUUGUGAGAGAUCGUCGCAUGAUGGGAUUGAUCGUGGCACGAUAGCACGCAAAAUCCAAGACCAUGAAACUCAAUAAAUAUUAAAUACUAAAUAGAGACCUUCACCCCAUAAUUUAGAACAUCUCAGAAUUGAAGAAGCAACUCAAGAAGGAAAUAGAGCAAGGAGCUCUCUAGGAAGACAAUCUCCACCAUUAGGAGUAGUUUUCUUAGCAUUUCAACUAAGUUAUCGUGUAUGCGUAAUUUUCUAACUCUUUUGUUAUGUUAGUUAUGCUUAUGGGUAACUAAUUACUUUAGGUUAUGUCGAGUAAAUGUAUUCCAUCGUGACACGGUGCAGUUGAGCUGAUUUUCUUCAAUUUUGUGUGUGUG
rnacentral:lncRNA from 1 species